rnacentral:rRNA from 1 species
CAGUCGCCACGGUAAUACGUAGGUGGCAAGCGUUGUCCGGAAUUAUUGGGCGUAAAGGGCUCGCAAGCGGUUUCUUAAGUCUGAUGUGAAAGCCCCCGGCUCAACCGGGGAGGGUCAUUGGAAACUGGGAAACUUGAGUGCAGAAGAGGAGAGUGGAAUUCCACGUGUAGCGGUGAAAUGCGUAGAGAUGUGGAGGAACACCAGUGGCGAAGGCGACUCUCUGGUCUGUAACUGACGCUGAGGAGCGCAAGCGUGGGGAGCGAACAGGACUAGAUACCCCGGUAGUCCCUGUCUCUUAUAA